rnacentral:lncRNA from 1 species
AAGAGACAAUUAAUCCUCUCAGUAAAGCAGCCCAGUGCACCCAUGGAUUCCCAACUGUGACACAAGAGGAAUGACCAAGUGUCUGUUGUACAGCUGUUUUACUCUUUCACUGGGAAGAAUUCACACUGGACCUCAGGUUAAGGAAUGAAGGAUCUGGCACCAUCUGGAUAUCUUUCAGUUCCUUCCAUGUACAUUUUCAGACAAGGGGAAAUCCACAGACACUGGCUAUGACAUACGCUUUUCCUGUUGUGUCCUGUACUUGGAGUCACAUUGAAAUUUGCAGCAAGACUUAACUUCCACCAGGAACUCCUCUGAAGCAGCUGUUAGCUAAGGGGUAGGUAUCUUGGGACUUAUCAGACACUGCCUAAGAGAUAGCAACUAGGUAGCAAAGGUCUGAUUAAAUGUUCUCUAAUGCUAUUAGGUUGUUUUAAAAAUAAUUACAGUUUUACAUGAACUGAAUCAAACCUUUCAGCUAAAUAUAAGUCAAUAUCAACUUUCUACUUGUGUGUUCUGUAAGAUACUAUUUCUUUUUAUGGUGCAGAAGGUACUAAGUAAUAUUUGCAGUGUCUUUAUACUUAUAAGUGAAAAGGUGUGAUUUCUGCAUUUAUGUUUUCUUUUACAACCUUGCUCUAACAGUAUAGUUUUAAUAUUUCUGUAAAUUACAUUUUGUGUAUGUGUUUGUGUGAUGGAUGGUAGAAUAUGAUGAAGAAUCAUGUUUAAUAAUAG